GUUAGGAAUAUUGGGCAAUGGGCGAAAGCCUGACCCAGCCACGCCGCGUGAGUGAUGAAGGCCUUCGGGUUGUAAAGCUCUGUGGGGAGGGAAGAAAAAGCGGGAGAGUAACUGCUCUCGUGUUGACGGUACCUCCUUAGCAAGCACCGGCUAACUCUGUGCCAGCAGCCGCGGUAAUACAGAGGGUGCAAACGUUGCUCGGAAUUACUGGGCGUAAAGCGCGUGUAGGCUGACAUGCAAGUCGGGUGUGAAAUCCCAGGGCUCAACCUUGGAACUGCACUCGAAACUGCACGGCUUGAGUACUGGAGAGGGAAGCGGAAUUCCGGGUGUAGAGGUGAAAUUCGUAGAUAUCCGGAGGAACACCAGUGGCGAAGGCGGCUUCCUGGACAGUAACUGACGCUGAGACGCGAAAGCGUGGGGAGCAAACAGGAUUAGAAACCCGAGUAGUCC
rnacentral:rRNA from 1 species